GGUUCGAAGGCGAUCAGAUACCGCCCUAGUUCUGACCGUAAACGAUGCCACCUGACGAUCCGCCAGGGUUACUACCAUGACUCGGCGGGCAGUCCCCGGGAAACCCAAGCCUUCGGGUUCCGGGGGAAGUAUGGUUGCAAAGCUGAAACUUAAAGGAAUUGACGGAAGGGCACCACCAGGAGUGGAGCCUGCGGCUUAAUUUGACUCAACACGGGGAACCUCACCCGGCCCGGACACCGCGAGGAUUGACAGAUUGAGAGCUCUUUCUCGAUUCGGUGGGUGGUGGUGCAUGGCCGUUCUUAGUUGGUGGAGCGAUUUGUCUGGUUAAUUCCGAUAACGAACGAGACUCUAGCCGGUUAAGUAGCCCGAGCGGUUUUUGAUCUUUGCCGUUCAUCCCCGUUCGGCCUUUGCGUCGUCCCCUUUUUUUUUCUUUGUUUCGGUCCGUCUCCGUCGUUUUUCCGUUUUCUCUCGUUUCCCGAUCCCUCGCCGUCCCGUCAACUCGUUCGACGGGUGCCGGCGGUUUUCGUGGUCUCGAGGGGGGCGGGGCGGCGGAACGGUCCGUUCGAGGAGGAGGGGGUAUACGCUCGGCCGUUUCGGGGUGAAAGCAUAACCGAAGGCCGCCGGCUUUUAAGGAAGCUUCUUAGAGGGACGAGCGGCGUUCAGCCGCCCGAGAUUG
rnacentral:rRNA from 1 species